GUUAAUUUACAUUUUAAGACAUAAGUGGUAAACAUAUUAUAGAUCAAAAAGAAACAAUAUAAACUCUUCUGUAUCGGUCUGGUCUGUCAAAAUGGAGACACGGAUGACUUUACUCAUGAUCUUCACUGCAGUUUCAGGCUCAUUUGCAGAUACAAUAGGACCAGAAGGAGACACGUAUAUAAUCAGUCGUGAAGGAGAUUCUGUCACACUGACCUGCACAUAUGAAACAGACAGCAAUAAUAUUGAUCUUUACUGGUACAGACAGUAUCCAGACCAUGAACCUCAGUAUAUACUGUGGAAAGGUGCCCGAUCAAGAGAUGACGAGAAAGACAUACCAAAUCCUAAUGAAUUUGAUUCCUCUACAUCCAGAACAUCCACACAACUGAUCAUUAAAAAAUCUGCUCUGAAAGAUUCAGCUCUUUAUUACUGUGCUCUUUGGAUAGACCCAGUGAUACAAAGUUUCAUAACAGCUGUACAAAAACUCAAACAUUAA